UUUUCAGUCUUUUGCCAACAGCUGAGGGGAAAAGUUGUUCUCUGAAAUUUGAACAAAAUGAAGUUUGUAUUUGUUUUUUGUUUAAUAUCCAUAAUUCUGGGUCUUGCCUUGGCUCAAAAUAGUAAUAGGUGUCAUUCGGACACCAUUGUCACUGGAGAUUGCGGAAGGAGAAUUCGAGGAUUUGCUUAUAUAUCUGGAUCGGACAAAUGCCAUAGGUUUAGGACUCGAGCCUGUUCUGUAACUGGGAAUUUUUUUCAUUCCGAAGAUGAGUGUAAGCAAAGGUGUGCUACCCCCCGUUCAAGUAAUUCUGACGAAAGUGGAUUCGUAUCAUUCAUAAACAGAAGCAUGGCGCGUAUCCAAGACCUGUUAAAAGGCAUAGUAAAUUAUGCCAGUGACUAAAAUGUUAUAGAAAAAAAGCAUUUAAUAAAGCUCUAAAUGCAUAGUUUUUUCCUUUAUAUAAAUUCUGAAUAAAUGAGAAUUUUAUAACAGAUCAA